CAAGCAGAAGAGUAAGACAAGCACUCCAUGGCUGCAGGAGUAAAGCAAAUGCUCUGUGUACCCAGGACCGAGGCAGGUCCAGACCCAAAGCUGUGAUCAUUCUGCCACAGAAAGGAAAAAGGGGAACAAGGUGCAUGUUGUCGCUGCAACGUCAAAGAGUGCCAGGGCUGUACUUCGUACCCAUGACACGCACAGACUCGGGAUCCCAUGGGCAACCAUGGCUUCCGCCUCCUCUCUCCUGAAUUCCAGGUUCUCCCCACUUUCCUCUGCGCUGGGGGGAGCGGUACAGACACCACUGAGAGGGCAUCCUCUGGGAAUUCUGUAUUCAAUAUCAGCUUCCCAUCCAGUUUCAUUUAUCCCAGGUAUCUCUUGCCUCUGCCCUUCUUGGCUGCUGGGGCUGUGCCUCAGCCAGGCUGUUUGAAUACCCUGCCUCUUGGGGCUGGCAAGUGAAACAAGGGGCCUUAGGGAUGUGCCACACAAACCCAUCUCUUUUUUCAUGUUCUUAAGGUUACCAAAAAAAUCAAAGCAAGAGUACUGCUGUUUUUGAGACUCUCUGACCUCUCAGCUGCUGCAGCUCUGGGCUGUUUAGUCACAAGUCUUACUCUGAUUGACAAGAUGACAGCUUCCAUCUUCAAAGUGAUUUUGGUGUUUACCUUUCCUUCAAGGCCCCAGACAACUUAAUUUCUGUGCCUGCUGCUGCCUGUUCCUUCACCUCAGACCCCCUCAACUAUUCUACAACAUUGCUUAAACAUGCAGCAUUUAAGCUAAACUGGAAAAAGUGAGCCACAAGGAAAGGAAGCGGCUGACAUCCGCUGUGCCAAAGGUUCCUGGAUCCUAACCCCAUGUCUGGCCACUGCGCUCACAGCACCCCUGCCAUGACUAAGCAGGAGGGAAUGUCUGCGCAGGCAGAUGCGAACUCUGUUUUCUAAACCGCUGUUUAACCCAAACACUGAAAUAAACAGAUGGAAGGAAAA